UACGAAGGGUGCAAGCGUUACUCGGAAUUACUGGGCGUAAAGCGUGCGUAGGUGGUUUGUUAAGUCUGAUGUGAAAGCCCCGGGCUCAACCUGGGAAUUGCAUUGGAUACUGGCGGGCUAGAGUGCGGUAGAGGGUAGUGGAAUUCCCGGUGUAGCAGUGAAAUGCGUAGAGAUCGGGAGGAACAUCUGUGGCGAAGGUGACUGCCUGGACCAGCACUGACACUGAGGCACGAAAGCGUGGGGAGCAAACAGG
rnacentral:rRNA from 1 species